rnacentral:rRNA from 1 species
UACGGAGGGGGCAAGCGUUGUUCGGAAUUAUUGGGCGUAAAGCGUAUGUAGGCGGCUAGGUAAGUCAGGCGUGCAAGCCCGUGGCUCAACCACGGAAUUGCGUUUGAAACUGCUUAGCUUGAGUACAGGAGAGGAAAGCGGAAUUCCCAGUGUAGCGGUGAAAUGCAUUGAUAUUGGGAAGAACAUCUGUGGCGAAGGCAGCUUUCUGGACCAAUACUGACGCUGAGGUACGAAAGCGUGGGUAGCAAACAGG